AUGGUCGUUCUUUCAGAUAGUCGAAUGACUUGGAAAAGUCAGUCAAAGAGGGUAAAAACCCCGUAGACGAAAUGUGGAAGACACCUAGGAGGAUCCUGAGUACGGCGGAACACGAGAAAUUCCGUCGGAAUCCGGGAGGACCAUCUCCCAAGGCUAAAUACUCCCUAGUGACCGAUAGUGAACCAGUACCGUGAGGGAAAGGUGAAAAGCACCCCGGAAGGGGAGUGAAAUAGAACCUGAAACCGUGUGCCUACAACAAGUCAAAGCCCGUUAAUGGGUGAUGGCGUGCCUUUUGUAGAAUGAACCGGCGAGUUACGAUUGCAUGCGAGGUUAAGUUGAAGAGACGGAGCCGCAGCGAAAGCGAGUCUGAAUAGGGCGUUUGAGUAUGUAGUCGUAGACCCGAAACCAUGUGAUCUACCCAUGUCCAGGUUGAAGGUGCGGUAAAACGCACUGGAGGACCGAACCCACGUACGUUGAAAAGUGCGGGGAUGAGGUGUGGGUAGCGGAGAAAUUCCAAACGAACUUGGAGAUAGCUGGUUCUCUCCGAAAUAGCUUUAGGGCUAGCCUCGGAAUUGAGAAUGAUGGAGGUAGAGCACUGUUUGGACUAGGGGCCCAUCUCGGGUUACCGAAUUCAGAUAAACUCCGAAUGCCAUUCAUUCAUAUCCGGGAGUCAGACUGUGAGUGAUAAGAUCCAUAGUCGAAAGGGAAACAGCCCAGACCACCAGCUAAGGUCCCAAAAUAUAUGUUAAGUGGAAAAGGAUGUGGGGUUGCACAGACAACUAGGAUGUUGGCUUAGAAGCAGCCACCAUUUAAAGAGUGCGUAAUAGCUCACUAGUCGAGUGACCCUGCGCCGAAAAUGUACCGGGGCUAAACAUAUUACCGAAGCUGUGGAGUACACCUUUAGGUGUAUUGGUAGGAGAGCGUUCUAAGGGCGUCGAAGGCAGAUCGUGAGGACUGCUGGAGCGCUUAGAAGUGAGAAUGCCGGUAUGAGUAGCGAAAGACAGGUGAGAAUCCUGUCCACCGAAUGACUAAGGUUUCCUGGGGAAGGCUCGUCCGCCCAGGGUUAGUCGGGACCUAAGCCGAGGCCGAUAGGCGUAGGCGAUGGAUAACAGGUUGAUAUUCCUGUACCCGUUGUUUUUGUUUGAGCAAUGGAGGGACGCAGGAGGCUAAGGAAUGCAGACGAUCGGAAAUGUCUGUCCAAGCAGUAAGUCUGAAGAGGAGUCAAAUGCUUCUUUUCUUAAGGACAAGCUGUGAUGGGGAGGGAAAUAAUAGUACCGAAGUUCCUGAUGUCACACUGCCGAGAAAAGCUUCUAGUGAGAAAACAGCGGCCCGUACCGCAAACCGACACAGGUAGUCGAGGAGAGAAUCCUAAGGUGAGCGAGAGAACUCUCGUUAAGGAACUCGGCAAAAUGACCCCGUAACUUCGGGAGAAGGGGUGCUGAUCAUACGAUCAGCCGCAGUGAAUAGGCCCAAGCGACUGUUUAUCAAAAACACAGGUCUCUGCAAAAUCGUAAGAUGAAGUAUAGGGGCUGACGCCUGCCCGGUGCUGGAAGGUUAAGAGGAGUGCUUAGCGCAAGCGAAGGUACGAAUUGAAGCCCCAGUAAACGGCGGCCGUAACUAUAACGGUCCUAAGGUAGCGAAAUUCCUUGUCGGGUAAGUUCCGACCCGCACGAAAGGCGUAACGAUUUGGGCACUGUCUCAACGAGAGACUCGGUGAAAUUUUAGUACCUGUGAAGAUGCAGGUUACCCGCGACAGGACGGAAAGACCCCAUGGAGCUUUACUGUAGUUUGAUAUUGAGUGUCUGUACCGCAUGUACAGGAUAGGUAGGAGCCGUAGAAAUCGGAACGCUAGUUUCGAUGGAGGCGCUGGUGGGAUACUACCCCUGCGUUAUGGCCACUCUAACCCGCACCACU
rnacentral:rRNA from 1 species